CUCUUCUGGAAUGCCAUCUAGUGGUUUUAUCUCAGAAGAGACCAGCUUCUACCCUUUUGAAGACUGAAAACCCUUCUAAACGAAACAGUGAAGCAAAAUACUUCCCUCUUUUUCAUCUUCAAAAUCUAAAACUUUCUGUAAUGAUAGUAAUAAUAGUUGAAAUAAACAAUGCUAAAGAAUGCAGUGAAAAUAGUUGCUAGAGUCAAUACCCUAGGUAUACUUCCUGGGUUUUUAAUUCCACUGUCCUACUCCUCUAAUACCUUGACUAUAUGAAAUACUAUGUAAAGACGUAAUUAAUUAUUAAUAAUAAUGAUGUCACAGGUAAACUUAUAGGCCUAAUGACUAUGAAAACCAGCUAUGUUACAUAAUGUUACACACUGCAGUGUCAUUAUUGUAAACUUUAAUGAACAGCAGAUUUCUGUCAUACAGCUAUAUUCUUCUCUUUAAACUUGUAAGAACUUUAUCAAUACUAUUGAAAAAAAACUAGGAGUAAAGGCAAAUUCAUAUAGUCCCUCUGAUCCGGUCUGGGUAUUUUAAUUGGAGCUUGUAAGCUGAAAUCUGUAAACAAUCAGGAAAGGCUGGCACUGUUUCCAUUUAAAUGCUUGAAAGAACCUAGCUAGAUAUAUCAAGAAAGAUCAGCUAUUUUACUUCCUUUACUACAUAAUAUUCAAGGUCUGAAUCAAUAGUAUACAUCUAUAAAGUAUACAUAUUUAUAUACCAAGUCUUUGUAAGACCCCAAUAGUAAAGUCUGUGCAAUACGUAUGAUGCCAAGCAUGGUAACCUACCAGCUAAACAACAAACCUGUUCUUUACUCUCACCUUCAGGGGCAGCCUUCCUUCUCCCCUUGCCCAUCCACUCUCGGGUCUUU